rnacentral:misc_RNA from 1 species
CAAAUGCCUUUUUUUUUCUCUGUUAGCAUGGGUAAUUAUCAAAAUGAUGAUGACAAGGAAAACUAUGGCAGUUACCUGCAAAGUAUAGCAAAUUCUUCUAACAUCAAACAUGUGAAAAUUGCAGAGGAAAACAUUGCAAAUAUAAUGUAGAGAAAUGAACCGUUUGUGAACCAAGACAAUCUCAUAGCAUGAGAGAUUACAAGGAGUAUAAACCAAUAAAAUUUUUAUAUACCACAAAAUCCACAUAUUAUAGUUCGACCAGAAGGCAAAAUGUACCAAAAACAAUACCUCAAUUCUAG